rnacentral:tRNA from 1 species
AGGUUUUGAGUUGGGUUUCAAUUUAUAAUUUGCAAUUAUAAGACAUAUUAUAUAAAACCUA